UCGCCUGUUUUUACAAAAACAUGUCUGUGUGAAAAUUUAAACAUAGUCUGACCUGCCCACUGGGAAACUAAAGGGCCGCGGUAUACUGACCGUGCAAAGGUAGCAUAAUCAUUUGUUCUUUAAUUGAGGACUGGAAUGAAAGGUCUGACAAGAAGUUAGCUGUCUCUAAGAUAAAUCUUUAAUUUUACUUUUAAGUGAAAAGGCUUAAAUGCGGUAGAGGGGCGAUAAGACCCUAUAAAACUUUACAGGUUUCUAGCAAUUAUCGAAUUUUUGUGUAAAUUUGUUUUUAGUGUUACUGUUUUGUUGGGGCGACAGAAAUAUAAUUAAUUAACUGUUUCUAGUUUAAAAAUAGUUCUAAUUAGUUAAGUUGAUCCUUUAAUAGAGAUUAAAAGAUUAAGUUACUUUAGGGAUAACAGCGUAAUUUCUCUUGAGAGUUCUAAUCGACAGAGUUAGUUGCGACCUCGAUGUUGAAUUAAGAUGUUAUCUAGGUGCAGAAGCCUAGACAGUAGGUCUGUUCGACCUUUAAAAUCUUACGUGAUCUGAGUUCAGACCGGA
rnacentral:rRNA from 1 species